UACGUAGGGCGCAAGCGUUGUCCGGAAUUAUUGGGCGUAAAAAGCUCGUAGGCGGCUUGUCGCGUCUGUUGUGAAAGCCCGGGGCUUAACCCCGGGUCUGCAGUGGAUACGGGCAGGCUAGAGGCAGGUAGGGGAGAACGGAAUUCCCGGUGUAGCGGUGAAAUGCGCAGAUAUCGGGAGGAACACCGGUGGCGAAGGCGGUUCUCUGGGCCUGUACUGACGCUGAGGAGCGAAAGCGUGGGGAGCGAACAGG
rnacentral:rRNA from 1 species